rnacentral:sRNA from 1 species
AACAAAGGGCUGAAGAGUGCAGUCUUCUUACAAGGUUUCAGAAGAGGACUUUCUAUUAGGAAUUAGAUUAGAAGCCAUUUGUGUCACAUUCUCACAAGAAAUCUGGAUGUAUUCUGCCUGGGUCCCAGCCACUUUUGAGCCAUUUGAAUUCAAAAGUAGAUGGGCUAAAUUGUUUGGCAGAGGAAGUUUCAAGAGAGUCUAAUGGCCAGGCUGUGUGACAGCUGCUUCUCACUGUGUUUAGUGAGGUUUAUAAUGAAAAUUCAAAGUAGGAAAAUAUGAAGAUUUGCAGUUUAAUGAGGACAGGAAUGUGGACAUGGCUGAGACUGAAGAAAGAUGGUGGAAGUUUGUAGGAAGGACCAAGUAUCCAUACUAGUUAGAGAUGGCACUAGCAAAGACAAGGCAUGCAUUUCACAGAAGGACAGCUGGGGGAAAUGCCUUGACGGUAAGGUUCCACUCGUGCAGCGCUCCAACUUGUAAAGAGGAGAAUUAAUUUGCCGUGGGAGAGCCCUGACUUGAGAAUGCUGCAGUGAGCUGCAGAGUAAGGCUAUCUUAAGUACAGCCUGAGGACCAUUGCUUAAAGAUGUGAAGAUGAAGCUUAAGAUAUCAGAAGACUCCAAGAUACUGGAAAUGCAGACAUAUGGACUCCUCAUCAAGGAAAGCAUUCUACAAGACCUUGUGAAGAAUAGAUAUGGCUACAAAUUUCCCUGUUCCAAUGCUCACCGCUAGAAGACUUGUGGCUGUAGUCUUACAAUGGUAGAACUUCCUUCACCUUUUUCCCAUUGAUAGAUUGAUCUUACAUAUGCAGAUUCGAGGCAUUCCAAUGGAGUUAUUCAUUUGGCAUAAGUGGGCAGCUAAGCCCUCCAAAGGGUGGGAUGGUAAACUUCCAGACACCCUCACUGAUGAAACUGCCCUGACAGGAGAUAUAUUCCAAGGACACCCUGGAGCCUUUACCUUCACCCCUCUGGUUAGCUAAGCACUGACUUUCAGAGAUGUCCAUGUCCUGAUCCUUGAAACCUGUGUCUAUGCCACCUUGAAUGACGAAGAGUUUUCAUAGACGUGGCCAAGGCUUUUACAGUGGUAAGCUGAUCCUGUAGGAUUCUAUGUAAUCACUGGGCCCUUAUCUCGGGAAGCAGAAGGACUCCAGCCAGAAAGUGUGACAGAGACAAAUGAAAAAGAAGAUCGUGUUCAUGGGAUAUGGGCAGUGUCUACCUGGAAAAGGCUGUAGUUGAAACAAUUUUAACAUCUCCAGUAAUUGGACAUAAUAUUUUUAUUUAACCAAUAGUUUUAAAUUAAGGAACAAGGUUUUCACAAAAAAAAAAAAAACCUUGGUAACCAUGAGAACUUACUUGUAGGCAUCUAGACCUUCAGGUACAGCAUUUAGGAUUACAAUGCAUAGCAACAGACUAAACUUCAACAAAAGGCAAAGAAGUGGAUACCCGUGACUCUUAGGAUUCCUGAACGCCUACUGACCCCUGCAUUUUAACCCAGUGAGGCCUGUAUUGAAGUCCUGGACCCUGAGACUGGUAGCUGAUAUAACUGCAGUGAUUUUGGCAUCCGUCUGUGUUCACUCAAUUGAGUAGCCUCAGGGAACCUACGCAGGGUAGAAAGACUCAGGCACUGUGCCACAAGGUUUGGAAAUGAACAGAAGAUCUGGACAGAUGAUGCCCCUGAGUACUAGGAGCUGCCAAUCUGGUGCCUUGGAAGAGGUUGGUGAAGAGGGCAAGGGCUUUACUUCCAAUGGACUGAGAAGCUCAGUGCUCCAAAUCUGCCCAGAUGAACAUGUAGAACUUACCUACCCUCAUAUCAACAUAACGGUUCUCUAGAGAAUCAGAACUCAUAGGAUGAGUGUCAAAAGGGAUUUAUUAUAUGGGGCGACAAGAUAGGGUUGUCUAGCAGUGGCUAUCUCAUUUCAGAGAGGCUGAGAACCUGGUCUUUAGCUGUGUUAAAAGGCCCAAAAAACUGGCUCUAAUAUUGGCUCUCAUAGCAACGAGAUAAAUGCAUUUGCUAGCACAGUGUUAGCAAGCACCCAAAGACCACAGCUUCCUUCUUCCAUGUCCUUUUAUCAGGGUAGGGAACUACCAAAAGGUACUGCCCACAGUUAGGAUGGGUCUUCCCACUCCAAAUAAUCUGCUCAAGAAAGUACCUUACACUAGUGCCCAGUGGCUCACUUUACAUUCGAUUCCAGAUCAAUCCAGACAUGUUAACAACCAAGCUUUGCCAUCAUGAUGUGCUCAUAAAUUUCCCAUUAAGAAUAGGUAGGCAUGCUCAAGGGUUAGAAUUAAGUUUAUAUCAUCUCUUACGAUGGUGAUGGAGUUUUCUUGAGGGAGCUACUUUGACUCUGGGAUGAUUUCAUUUAAGUGGGAGUGAUAACAGCUGCCUUUAUUAGGACUUUCCUACCCACCAUUUUCAUACAUGUCAAGUCAAAGGAAAUGAAUGAAGAGGAGAGAGGAGUCCUUAGUUGAUGCUACAUCUAAGCGGCCCUCUCCAGUCCACUGUCAACACUUCGUACAACACAAGGUAGCAGACCUCCUGAUUCCUUGACCCUGAUGCCACUUGGGCUGGACAAUUGCACAUGUAUAUAGCAAUGGGCCCAGGUAAGAACCUUCUCUAAGAGGAGUCCUCCCUUUGAAUGUAGAAUCUGAUGUCUACCACCACACCUUGCCUAACAAGGGAUCUGCGUGCAUCUCUUGGAUAGGUCUGGUAACGAGAGCCUGUUUCCACAUUCUAAUAGGAAAAGCCACACUCAUCUCCUAGGAUUCCUCCAAGACUCUGGCAUCUCGUUACCUGAGACACCACAUUCUUCAUGAGAAUUUUUGAGCAACUAAACACUAGCAAGUAAGGUGGCUAUUCUAAUAAAAAUCAACUGU